GCUCCCUGGUGAUGUGGAGCUAGCGCUGACAGUGGAGGAGAGACGCCAGCACUAGCGAUUAGCAUGAGCUUCCAGGGGGCACCGCAACGGCUGCUGGAAAAUUCCAUCAGAGGCACGAAUCUGUCGCUUCGUCGUAAAGUGACAGCCCCCUGUGGCUCAGCACAGCACAGUAAGAAGAGUCCCAAGUGAGCCUCAGCAUCUGCCGGCUGGAGAAGGUGCGCUGUGAUGUUAUGAUCACCAGUGGAGAGGGAUAUACACAGGGGCUCGCCUGUCUGGAAAAAUAAGCUGGAUGGUCAUUUAAUCCCUCUAACCAGCUGGAAAGAUAAAUAUUCCACGGUGGAGCGUGAGGCCCCUGCGUCUCUCCACUCACGCAGACUGGAGAUGAGGGGAAAAUCUUGCUCUCCGCAGAGAUCAGACGCUCAAGUGCCUUAAUAAAGUUCUCCACCCUGCCAGACAUAGACAAGGGCAUGGCUGCAGAGACCUAUAUAGGCCCCACACACAUUUAGCACAUUUUGUUUUGAAAAAUGCUGCCACUAGGCAACGUAGCCUAGUGGUUAGAGUGUUGGACUAGUAACUGGAAGGUUGCAAGUUCAAACCCCUGAGCUGACAAGGUACAAAUCUGUCGUUCUGCCCCUGAACAGGCAGUUAACCCACUGUUCCUAGGCCGUCAAUGAAAAUAAGAAUUUGUUCUUAACUGACUUUCCUAGUUAAAUAAAGGUAAAAAUAAAAAUAACAGAGAACACUGGAAACUAGAGAACGCUUCCCAUCAAUUUCUGGCAUAUUGCAGCAAUCAAACCUGGAGCCAUUUGGAGUUAAAUGACUUGAUUAUGUGUAUCCAGGAUGUAAGUGGCACAUACUGUUCAAGUGAGAAGCUCUCAAUGUACAUAUUUAUGACAAAACCUGUUUUAAUUUUUUUGAAAGAAGAGGAAAGCCACACACUUCUAGGAGCUCAGAUGCAAUAAUUUAUUUCCAAUGUUUUGACAGCUAGGCUGAUGAAAACAGCUUGGCUGUCGAAACAUUCGAAAUAAAUGAUUGCAUCUGAACUCCUAGAGUGUGUAGCUCUCCUUUUCUUUUUCAAGUGUUUUACUCUGCUAGCCAGCACCUCACCUAACCAGGUGUGCACUACUUCCACCUCCAGAAAACUUUUUUUUUUCUAAACAUUUGUUGAUAAUGCUUACAAGGUAUGCAAUUUAAAGAAGCAAAUAUUGCUUUGAAGAGAUUUCCCAAUUGUACCCUUGUUGAAAUAUAGUACAUAGGCCUAUACAUAUAAAAAUAUAACCUACUCAGCCUUAACGUAUGAUCUGAUUAUUGUAUCCAUAGUAUUCUACACUAUUCAUAUAGCAUGUC
ensembl:lncRNA